UACGAAGGGGGCUAGCGUUGUUCGGAAUUACUGGGCGUAAAGCGCACGUAGGCGGAUAUUUAAGUCAGGGGUGAAAUCCCGGGGCUCAACCCCGGAACUGCCUUUGAUACUGGGUAUCUCGAGUCCGAGAGAGGUGAGUGGAAUUCCGAGUGUAGAGGUGAAAUUUCGUAGAUAUUCGGAGGAACACCAGUGGCGAAGGCGGCGACCUGGGCCAAUACUGACGCUGAGGUGCGAAAAGCGUGGGG
rnacentral:rRNA from 1 species